CUAUUUGAAUUUUAAUUGGAGGUUCCUGCUUACAAAUUUUCUAUGAUUUGUGGGGGUUCUUGGCUUUUAAAAUUUUAUCUUGGGUACCCUGUGCCCCCCUUUUAUGACGUGUGUUUUUUUUUAUACAAUAAAUUUCAAUAUAAAUUGCUUAAAAAUAAAUAUGUAAUAAUAUUUUAAAAGUAUUAUUAAACCAGAGAAAAAAUGAAUUACUUAAA